rnacentral:ncRNA from 2 species
CGCUGGAAAGUCGCUCUUCGGAGCGCGCCGACGGAGCAAGGCGACCUCAUUGAGGACGUCGGAAUCUCUCAGGCUUCAGGACAGCG